AAAAUUCUGAUAAUGCAUUAGGCAGGUACAAAGCCAAUAUUUGUGAAGUUCUGUUGCAUUUCACAGUGUAGAAGACCAUUCUGGUUGGUGAAGAAAGAUAAGCCUCAGAUAACCAUGUAGAAAAAUACUUUAAUGUUGAAAAUGUUCUAGAAAUAGUGAACAAAAUCAAAACAAGGAACCUUUUUAAAAAAAAUGUGAUUUUUUUGUGUGUAAGCCUGGCUGUUCACCGUUCAGUUUUGCUGUUGAUUGGUAUAUCAGAAUCAAAGCAUGUAAAUACUAUUGAGAUUCAUACUUCAUAAAAUAUUAGUGGUUAAGUGUCAAAAUUAGAUGAGAUGCAAUUAUACAGUCUGACACUUGUGUCUCUGAAUCUUGUUUAAGUGCUAAGCACGCUCAGUGUUUUCACUAGAAAGAAGUUGGCAAAACGCUACAUUUCUCUGGUUGCUGAAAAGAUACUGGCUUACAGCAGCAUACACCUCUGUGAAAGUUCUCGUUCUGCAUUCUCUGUACUCCCCAAACUCCUUCUCAAAUAAUUGUCAAGUGAAUGGGAGUUAUGAGUGAACAAGAGAUGCAGGAUGGAGCCCGUAUUGGGUAAACAGAAUCACAUUUGUGUAGCAAUAUUUCUUUCUAAUUGCUUUACGUGCAGUCCCAUGGAUGGAGAUGGCAGAAAGCAAACUGUAUGAAGUCUUUGCCAUAUUCUUCAUAAGAUUAUAAAACACAUUCUUGAAUGGAUGAAAAGUACACACUAGCCCAAAUAGUCUCAAAUGUUCUUAUGUCAGAUGUCUCCAUAUUAAAAAAAAAACAUAAAAAGACCACUAUCUUAAAACCUAUUGCAAAAGCUGACCUGUUGCCCGUAAAUUAGCAUUAUUUCCAGAUCCGGACAAUUUCCAUCUGACAAUGCUGGUGCAUAAGCAUAAAAACAAACAGCAGUUACAGCACACAUCAACAACUAGUGCAUGAGAAACACCAGUGGGAGGAAAAAAAAUCAGUGCUUGGAAAUAAAAUUUUCUUCCAUCUCA
rnacentral:lncRNA from 1 species